rnacentral:rRNA from 1 species
CCUGAGAAACCCAAAAGAUCGAAUGGGGAGAUUCAUCGUCAGCGAUCCUGGCACGUGUGCGGUUCGUGAUGCCGGGGACCUCGGUCCCUUGGCACGCGUCCGCAUGGUUAUAUUGCCGGGUGUCGUCGGCGUGCACUUCUCCCCUAGUAGGACGUCGCGACCCGUUGGGUGUCGGUCUACGGCCCGGGUGGGCGCCUGUCAUGUGUUACGCCUCACGGCCUCAUGUGGCAGACCCCCGGUUGUCUGACCAGCUGCCCGGCGGUACCCGCACGGUAUCGAGCCGCAAAUAUUCGAACUGCGUCCGGCCCGCCGCAAGCGAGGCCAGUGUUUCCCGGAUGUACGGACCUAGCGCCGUCACCGGGCCUGACCAGCUGUUGGUCGGCGGUGUCCUGGGACUGGCUCUGAAUUAUGAUACCGGUCGGCGACGCUACUGCUUUGGGUACUUUCAGGACCCGUCUUGAAACACGGA